rnacentral:rRNA from 1 species
AGCGAACGCUGGCGGCAGGCCUAACACAUGCAAGUCGAGCGGCCGUAGCAAUACGGCAGCGGCAGACGGGAGAGUAACACGUGGGAACGCGCCCUUCGGUUCGGGAUAACUCAGGGAAACUUGGGCUAAUACCGGAUACGCCCUUACGGGGAAAGAUUUAUUGCCGAAGGAACGGCCCGCGUCCGAUUAGCUUGUUGGUGAGGUAACGGCUCACCAAGGCGACGAUCGGUAGCUGGUCUGAGAGGAUGACCAGCCUCACUGGGACUGAGACACGGCCCAGACUCCUACGGGAGGCAGCAGUGGGGAAUAUUGGACAAUGGGCUCAAGCCUGAUCCAGCCAUGCCGCGUGGGUGAUGAAGGCCCUAGGGUUGCAAAGCCCUUUCAGCGGGGAAGAUAAUGACGGUACCCGCAGAAGAAGCCCCGGCUAACUUCGUGCCAGCCGCCGCCGUAACAC